UGCAAGUGAGCUGCCUGAUGGUCCAUCACACUGACUUUAUAUAGCUCGACUUCCUGAAAAAUACAAAAAAAGUGUUAUUUCAGACUAAGGAGCACACUGCUGGGUCACAGCAAAGUUAAGAGCAAUUGGUGAAUCUUUCCUCUGUUUGCCAACCUGAAGACUUGAGCCAUGAAUGUGGAGUGGUGGAAGAAUCCUUGGGGAAAUACAAGAUGUACUUGAAAUUUUUGCUGUUCCAGGGAUCUCUUCAGGCUUUUCUGGCCUCCUGUUAACACGCUGUCCAGUUCAGUGUCACGGUCUGGGAUACUGGAAACAUGAGGUUUGACAUGCACCCUACCCCCAUGCAGAGAAGUACAUCUCCCUGUGGUUGCUUACACUGUUGUAACAAUAAUAACGAAAGAGGGAUGACUUCUGCAUACUUUUUGUUCUCCAUCGGUUCUCCAUGGCAAAUGAUGGGAACCAAGGCAGGAGAGACUGACCGCUGUGGCCAAAGUCACCCUGGGAGUCUGUGGAAUUGCAUCCUGAUCUUUGAAGUCCAAUUCCGGUGUCUUUACUGUCAGAUUAUCUUUCUGUUCCCUUGCUGCUGAAUGUAGAUUUAAGAUGCACAUGUGUAAUGAGCCAAAUGUGUUCUGCACGUGUUUGAUUAGCCAAAUUCUGACCCUAGGCACAUGUGCCAAGCUCUUCCUGAUCUAGUUAAGAGUGCAUUCAAGGWUGGGCUCACCCCAAAGAGUGCAAAACAAUGUAGGCAUUUAGUUUAUGAAAAAUUUCCUUCCUCGACUUGGGGUGGCAUUCCUUUACCCAUUUGGUGUUUUAACCAACUGGGGCUUUUCUGUAAGCUCUGGAGAAGCGAUGGCAGACCACUGGUUAAUAAGCUGGGUGGCUGAUUGUGUGAUCUUUUGUAUUGCCUGCACACCAGAUACUGAUUAAUGAUUAGCAUGUAACAAAUUAAUAAAUCAAUACCACAAACAAAUAAAC
rnacentral:lncRNA from 1 species